UACGGAGGGUGCAAGCGUUGUCCGGAUUUAUUGGGCGUAAAGAGCGUGUAGGCGGUUUGGUAGGUCCGCUGUGAAAACUCGAGGCUCAACCUCGAGACGCCGGUGGAAACCAUCAGGCUAGAGUCCGGAAGAGGAGAGUGGAAUUCCUGGUGUAGCGGUGAAAUGCGCAGAUAUCAGGAAGAACACCCGUGGCUAAGGCGGCUCUCUAGUACGGUACUGACGCUGAGACGCGAAAGCGUGGGGAGCGAACAGG
rnacentral:rRNA from 1 species